rnacentral:rRNA from 1 species
UGUUGUAAGAGAAGAACGUUAGGAAGAGUGGAAAGUUUACUAAGUGACGGUAUCUUACCAGAAAGGGACGGCUAACUACGUGCCAGCAGCCGCGGUAAUACGUAGGUCCCGAGCGUUGUCCGGAUUUAUUGGGCGUAAAGCGAGCGCAGGCGGUUGUAUAAGUCAGAAGUAAAAGGCAGUGGCUCAACCAUUGUGUGCUUUUGAAACUGUGCAACUUGAGUGCAGAAGGGGAGAGUGGAAUUCCAUGUGUAGCGGUGAAAUGCGUAGAUAUAUGGAGGAACACCGGUGGCGAAAGCGGCUCUCUGGUCUGUAACUGACGCUGAGGCUCGAAAGCGUGGGGAGCGAACAGGAUUAGAUACCCUGGUAGUCCACGCCGUAAACGAUGAGUGCUAGGUGUUGGUCCUUUCCGGGACUCAGUGCCGCAGAACGCAUUAAGCACUCCGCCUGGGGCCGCGUGAGUGAAGAAGGUUUUCGGAUCGUAAAGCUC